AUGCUCUAUCCUUUUGAUGUAAUAUCAGCUAUAGGUUUCCCUACCAAUUGUGGCAAUCAUAAUUCUCUUCUUUGGUCUUUGCAUUGGAAGUUAAGUUCAACAAAAGGAAAUGUGAAGGAAACUUUGGCCGGCUGGUCCGGCCCAGCAUCGGCGGCGUCCCUCGACGUCGUUACCCUCCGUGGAGGCGAAGCCGAGGUCCCUCCUAUCCACAUCCAAACCCCUCCCGGACGAAAGUCCAAAAUUCAGUCUGGAUUGGGCGGCGGCGGCGCCUUGCGCGUCGUAACCUGCAUGGAGGCGCCGUCUUGGGAGGCUUAG
rnacentral:rRNA from 1 species